GAUGAACGCUGGCGGCGUGCUUAACACAUGCAAGUCGAACGGACAGGCCCUGCUUUUGUGGCGUGCUCGAGUGGCGCACGGGUGAGUAACACGUGAGUAACCUGCACUUGACUUUGGGAUAAAUUCAGGAAACUGGGGCUAAUACCGGAUAGGAGCUCCUGCUGCAUGGUGGGGGAUGGAAAGUUUCGGCGGUUGUGGCUGGACUCGCAGCUUAUCAGCUUGUUGGUCGAGUAGUUGCUUACCAAGGCUUCGACGGGUAGCCGACCUGAGAGGGUGACCGGCCACAUGGGGACUGCGAGACGGCCCAGACGCCAACGGGAGGCAGCAGUGGAGAACAUUGCAGAACGAGCGGAAGUCAGAGGCAGCGACUCCGCGUGCGGGAUGACCUGCUACGGGGUGUAAACCGCUGUGGACGGAGACGAAGCGGGAGUGACGGUAAUGAGUAAAGAAGCAACGGCUAACUACGUG
rnacentral:rRNA from 1 species